AAAAGACGGGCGUUUUCAAUAAAUGGACAGUCGAGAAGGUCUCUUGAUUGAUUAGCUUAAUUUCGACAAAGUAGAGCAACAAAAAUGCGUACAUUGCUAUUUUAGUCUUGGUAGCUUCGGCUACUGCCACGUUGGCGGAACCCUAAAACAGACCUACACCUGGGCCAACUGGAAGUCCUCGCCCACCAAAUACUCCCGCUGCUCGCCAGGCACCUCCUCCCCCUCCUCCGCCAAUCGAAGUUCCUCGUCCUCCACCUACUCCUGCUGCCCGCCAGGGGCCCCAUCCCAACCCUCCCCCAACUGAAGUUCCACGCCCUCCACCCCUAACCACCCGUGCUAGCGGUUAAAGGGUAAAAUUUAAAUGUUAAUGUCCCCCAUCUGACAAUUACCAAAGAUCCAACGCGUAUUUUUCAAGACUUUUGACCCACGUUAAGACUUAUGCCCACUUCAAACAUGAAAGCAUGCGUAAAUGUGACUGCCCUGCGUUAUGCAUACCAAUCAUCUCGUGCCGAUUUUACUACACGUUAUAGAUCGGAUACUCGUACUUGCUUGUUAAGAAACUGUGGCAUAAUAUUCACGAGCAAUAACGCUAUCACUUCUUUAAGGUCAAGGGAUGCAACAUAGGAUUCAUUACUAAAGUUUGCAGAUGAUGGGAUUUUCUCGCAUCUGUCCAUUCCGACGUAUGGUUGAUUCUGCGCUGAGGACUGCAUUAUGAGUUAAGGAUGUCACGCCAGUGCCUAGCGCAAAUAGAAAAAAUAAACAAAUAAAACUCAUGUUUAGUGGAAUGAAAACAAUUAUAAUUUAAUAAAAGCAUCUUUAUUAACCCACUUUUUAACUUGCAUUUGUGCGUUGCCCAGCGCAUAUUCUGGGAAAUUAACCAAAAGCCAUGUAAAAAGUACGUUAUUCGAGUAAAAACCCCUUUACUAUGAGAUGGAAAAUAAUGCAACAUCAACAAUUAUUUUAAUUUGCAUAUGUGUGUAAAAACAUUAGUUACAAUGACUUCCAGAUUAGGAGGAAUUUUUAAGCAAUUGAAAAGUUUUGAAAUACAGUACAGAUCCUUAAACUUU